rnacentral:rRNA from 1 species
AUUGAACGCUGGCGGCAGGCCUAACACAUGCAAGUCGAACGAGUGGCGGACGGGUGAGUAAUGUCUGGGAAACUGCCUGAUGGAGGGGGAUAACUACUGGAAACGGUAGCUAAUACCGCAUACCAUCAGAUGUGCCCCGAUGGGAUUAGCUUGUUGUUGUGGUAACGGCUCACCACGGCGACGAUCCCUAGCCGGUCUGAGAGGAUGACCAGACACACUGGAACUGAGACACGGGCCAGACUCCUACGGGAGGCAGCAGUGGGGAAUAUUGCACAAUGGGAGCAAGGCUGAUGCAGCCAGGCCGCGUGUAUGAAGAAGGCCUUCGGGUUGUAAAGUACUUUCAGCGGGGAGGCGUUACCCGCAGAAGAAGCAACGGCUAACUCCGUGCCAGCCGCCGCGGUAAUAC